CAACUUGAUAACAUGCAAAAUGAAAAAAUGUCUAGCACGUUUACUCAGAGAUGCCUCGUAAUGUAAAUGCAAAAUGUAGAUGCUUUUCUAUUUUUCUCCGAACUUCUGCUGAUUUUUGCACUUUAUUUAAUGAUGCUCCUUGUUCUGUUUCCCCCUCCUGAAAUCUUCCGAAUGCCCUUACAUCAAAGUGUGUGAAAGCUGGUACACUCGUGCACGUUCUUUAGAAGAAAUGUAAGUUCGGAAAUGUCUUCUGAUGUUGUGUUUGCUCCGUGAUUAUUUUUCAGCCUUAUAAAAUUUAUAGCUUAAUUUCCCUUCUCUUAUCCUUUUGUGCUGCCGCCUUCGUUACCUUUCAGCCUUCACACUCUGUCAGCCUGGUUUUCUGAAAACCCCGCCGUCUCCUUUUGAUCAAAAGGUUUUUGUUCCUGCACAGUGCUCUCAGCCUUCAACAUCUGCUGUUCUGCUUCAGCACAAAAUUGACUGCCCGAAGACUCUUGUCAAAUUCACGAUGGCAGUGCCGACGCAGUCAGUAGCAUUGGUGCUUUCAGUGACCCCAUAGGAAGGCUGGCUCUUGCCCUCAGCUUGCCAUUCACCCACACCUCUGGAGCGAGGAUUUGCUUGGGUUUUCUGCAUUGCAGGAUCGUAGGUCUGUUUGCACAUCAGACUAGGCUCUGAUAGCCCUGUCACUUUCAAACUUUUAAAUCUCUUGAAUUUUCCUAUUUUAUAUGUAGUUUUCUGUGUAUGGUGAUUUUAAACUACUUAUAAUAAAGUUAGUUUACUUAAUUACCUUCCUGUGUGUUGCUGGAAAGCACACCAUUAGUUUUCUGCUAAGGUAUGUCAGCAGGGUGGGUUUUUGGUAUGCGGGUGCCACCAACCUUCCCAUUCUACUCUUUGGAUUACAAAUUCCACAUGGAACCUGAAAAGUCUUUGCUAGUGCAGGUUUUGUUGCUUGCUUUCAUCAAAGCUGAUGUUGUCUCAUGACUAACUUUAACUUCACCGAAUUACUUUUCAGUAUAGAACAGUUUAUUAAAAAUUCCAGAGCAGCAGUGGUUGAUGGCUCCAUGUUUGACUGCAGUGGUGUCUCCUAGCAACUUGGCUGAAAAAUGAACAUCCAGCAGGGAUGCUCUGACUGCUACGUAAAACCGUGUUUCUCUUGAUGAGGCUAACUCAACCAUCUUCACUGCUGUCCUCUGCACUAAAUGUUGUGCCGUACUGUUGAAAGCGCUUCUCAAGAUCAGCAUUAAAGGUAUAAUCUUUUAAAAAGACUGCUGUUGUUAGUUGUAAACAAUCACUCCUCUUUGAGAUUUCACAGGUACUGUGACCAAAGCUUAUAUGGAAAGUACUUUUCAAUUGACAAGUGGGACACGGUGACAGCACUGCAAGAUCUACACAGGCAGUAAGCCUGAAGGGGCUGUAAUUGGAACAGUAGAGUUUGGCCUGCUGUAUUUCACCUCAAGAAAUCAAAGGAGCAGUUGAAGUUGGAUUUCUCCAUGUUUUUAUAUUCAGAUAUCAACUCCACUCUGCUUUGGGUGUGAGAAUACCUCUGAGGUUGGACUAGCAAGUUCCUGUACCUGCCUCUGGCCUUAAAUGAUUAAAGGUGCUGAACAGAUGACUCUUGCGUGGUUGAAAAGCACUAUAAAGAGCUGAGGGGGCUUGAAUCUUGCUUUUUUUCUGAUCUUUUCCUUUAGCCAUGUUCCUCUUGAACUAAACUCUCUUCAAAACUUCUCUUUGCAGAUGAGGCUUUCUGUUUUAUUCUAGCCUGUGUCAAAGUAAAUUUAUAAUGGGAGUUUUCUUUCACUUGCGUAUAACCUUGAGGAGCUUUUCUGCUGUUGACUGGAGCAACCUCACAAAGAAUAGAGCUGAACAGCUUUGCCUCAUCUAAUCAUGCUGGAAAAAAAUGUAUUGAGUUCUCUUAAGAAACCAACGGAAAGAUUAAAAAUGCAACAAUUUUGCACAAAUCCAUUCUCAUUACAUCUUUCCAAGUAACCAUUUCAAGCUAUUAUCAGUUGUUGAGCUUCAUUUCUAUCACUAAUAAAAACAAUAUGUGACAAAUAAUGGAAUAUCGAUUUAGUGACUUGAAACUUGUGAAAUUGCCAUUUUAUUCAAUGCAUCUAUAGGCAGCACAGCAGAAUGGAAGUUUUAUUGUAGAGUGAAUGAACCUAUUGGUUUGAGCAUGGCAUAGUGAAAUUACAACGCAGCAAUAAAGUUGCAGGGCACACGUAGGCCAUCUGUUUCAUAGUGGGAAAAUAAACAACAUUGUGGUGACGGCCCCAAACAAUAAAUCUGGAUUUCAAAAAGAAAAGCAGUUGGAGCUUGUAAUGUUAGGAACAGCAUAGGGUGUUGCACAUCCUCCUUCCUUUCCAUGCUGUUGCUCAGCUGCAGUAUUCUCUCAAAUGCUACUUGGUUUUGGCAUCUUUAGUUAUUACAGUAUGUUGAGUUAAGGUCUAAAAAGCUCUUCAAGUCACAGAACACUGAUUCAACAAAGUGUGGCUCUUCGUGUCUUGCUUAUGGUCUUUAUCACCUUUUUAUUUUCAGUGUAGGCAGGGAGGGAGAUGGUCAACUUGUGGUGCUCCACUACCAGAUAAGAAAAAGAGCAAAGAGGUCACAAUCUAUGAGCAAGAGGCUGGCAUGAAACCAAGAUUUGUUCAAUGAUCCAUCAAAACAAAAUAAGAUCUAGUAGCUGGGCCCUGUGUUACCAGAAAAUGAAGCAACCAGAGUAUUGUAAUACAGGAAAAGUGUUUUUCUUAUUAAUUCAGAGAUGUGAAAUAAGACGAAUCUCUCAUUCUGACUGAUCUUUAAACAUUCUGAAUUGCAGCCCUUCUGUUGUCAAAUGUCCUGUGACCUUAAAGAAAUGUCUGAGAGGACUCACCUGGUAACUGUUGACAUAUGUAAAUGCAAAAUGUGACUAAGUUAAGUACUGCAUCCUUUUUCAAUUAUUUUUGUUGCAUUAGAAAUGUUAUAGAAUUGUGUCUACCUAGCAAGAAAUAAAAAAACAUCUUUCUUCUUUGGUGAGUGGGAUAUUCUGCAGGCUAUUUCUGCACAAUCCUGCACUGUUUUGUGUCCCCCUUCCCACAGCAGUCCUCUGUAUCACACCUGGAUGACCUUCUGUAAUGCCAUCUGGUCAAAUUCCAUGUAUUGACCUUUUGGGGGAGGAGGAGAAGCAGACAGAAGACGUCAGGGUUGUUGAAGCCACUAGUUUCUGGUCCAGUUACAGGGCUCUGCCUUGGGGCAUGUAUAUACAGUCUUAGUGGCAAAACCUCUCUGGCAUUCCCUUCUCCAUUCACCUACCUGUCCCCACUUCCUAGCCUCGAUUCCUCUAUCUUCCAAGACGUAGUGAGUACACAUUUUCCUUCAGUCUCCCCAAAGCCUGCUGCUUUGCAGAGUCAGACCUUCAUAGAUAAUUGCUGUAAGUAUACAUUCACUUCUGUGAAAGGGGGUUUCCAUCCUUACUGAGCUGUCUCCAUUAGGCAUCUAGUCACCUGCCUGGCACAAGUUGGCGCCUGUUGGAUGGUAAAUGAGAAGGAUGGAAGGAACAUGUUUUAUUUGUGUUUAAGCCGCAGAAGGCACGGUUUUAUUGUAUUUUUGUUGUUUUUCUUUUCUUAUAACGUUCACCAGCUUUAAGAUGAGAGCUUGAAAAGCACCAUUAAAAUGAAGAAUGGUUGCAAAGUAAUAAAGAAACAAUCAUCUCACUUUAAGGACUUGAACUAAAAGCUAAAUGACUGUAGUGGUUUAGACUGUAAAAGCAGUGGGAAAUUUAAUGAACACUGACCCUACAGGAAAGUCAAUCUGUCUGUUAAUGUUCAGUUACGUUAUUUCUUCCAAAAAGCAAUAAGCUUCUUUUAUCUGAUCUGUUGGUUAUGGAACCUGGGGUCAGACACCCGUUGGGCUUAAUUCUUCCAGUUUGUCCCACAUGAAAUGACUGACCUUUUUGGUAUAUCUGCUAAGUGUCCCAAGCAAGAAAUAAUGUCUCAGGAAGAUAAUAUGCAGGUUCUUAGGAAAUGGUUAUAGUUUUGGACAGAUUGUCGUAGACUUGACUGUGGACAUUCUGAACGGUCUGUAAAUUCCCCUAAUAUUAAGCAUAUUCAGCCAAUUCUAUUACUUGGUUGAGGCAAAAUAUAAAGAACAGAACUAAGAUGGAUUAACAGUGGCUGGGUGCCCGAGUCCUGUAACAAGUCAUUGAGCAAGAUGCUGUACAAUAUUUAUUGCAAAUCUCACAGUAAAAGUGGCAAUCAAAUAAGACAUAAACAUAUGAAGCUCUUUGCUUAUGUUAAACUGUUAAGAAAAUUUAUUUACUUAACCAGGUGGUAGGAAGAAUGUGUGCAAAAGGGCACCUUGACAGCUAGCUGAUUUAAAGCUGAAAUAAUUCAGCUGAGAGUAGUAUAUCCCUUUUCCAGGCUGCAGUGUAAGAAACCUUUGUAAAGCAAGAAAGCUGCUUGCUUUUGCUGAGCACCCUCUGCAUGAGAUGCUGUGCAGGGUGCAGGCCCAGAAGGGGCUGGAGAAGUCUGCCACUGUUCUUGCCACGUGGCAGAGCCAGCCCCUGGCAAAUGGCUGUCAAAAAUCACAGAAGCACCUCCAGCUGCAGGCAGCAAUCCUGCUAGCGUUCUGCCUGGUGCAUUACCUGAGCCUCUUCUGCUGCAGUGUAAACCCUUUCUUGUCCAAUCUCCAGUGGAUAUUAAGAACUGUUUGCCAUUGCCUCCUAAAUUUCAGAGGAUUGUUAUCAUGUAAUCAUUCAUCUUUCCUCCACGUUGUAAUAAUCUGUUUUCACAGAGUCAUAGAGUGGCUCGGGUUGGAAGGGACCUCAAGGAUCAUGAAUCUCCAACUCCCCUGCCGCAUGCAGGGCCACCAACCUCCCCAUUUACUACUAGACCAGGCUGCCUGAGGCCCUGUACAACCUGGCCUUGAACACCUCCAGGGACAGGGCAUCACAGCCUCUCCGGGCAGCCUGUGCCAGCACCUCACCACUCUCAUAGUAAAGAACUUUCCCCUGAUAUCCAACCUAAAUCUUUCCUCCCUCAACUUAUUUUUGUUUCCAUUUCUACAUGUCUUUCAGCUUUUGACAAAAUGAGUAAUUACUGCUCUCAAGCUUUAGCCCAGCAAGCAGAUGCAGUGGCACAUGAGGGGGAGCACAGGGAACCAACUGGAAAAGCAUUGUGUUUGAGCACUGUGCCAAAGGUGCACUGUGCAUCUUGACAAAUUCACAAAUGUGGGUAGUCUCUAGUCUUUAAAUGAGUUUUAAUCUGUGGCCUGGUUGGAACAAGUCUUACCAGGUUGUGGCCAAAUUAAGUAACAGCCAGAACAGAUGUGACAGGACUAUUCAUAUCGAGGGCCUACUCUACGAAGUUAUUUAUUUAGGCCAAUGUUUUUGUUUGGCUUGAUUUUAAUCUUAUGUGCUUCUUAAAUUAGAAUCUGAUGGUAUUUGGUGAUGCUUUGGGUGGCUUUGCAUAGCAGCUUGUCCUGCGAGAAUAGGACUGUGUGGGUGUGGGAUAAGACUUCAGAGGUGGCUGAGCUGGCAACACUCACCAGGCCCCAACACUUACCAGGCCACAACACUCACCAGGCCACAACACUCACCAGGCCGCAACACUCUGGGUUUUUUCUGGUUAACUCAUGGGGAUUGUCUGGAGACCAGACAUGCACGUACCUCACAGUGCACAAAUGCCACCAGAGGUGUAUGAAUUGGCUGCAUACUGAAUGUCACACUAAAUCUGUGUUUUCUUCCUUAUGAUGCUUUAACAAAAAUGGUGUCGCUCUAUUUACAUAUACAUCUCAGGUGUCAAGUCUAUUCAAGUUUAUGUUCCUUAAAAGCUUAUUGCAAUUUAGGGUCCAAUAUAUCUAACACAACUAGAACUUCACAUUUAACAAGUUAUAGAGCUUUCUAUGGUUUCCUUCAUUUUCCCCUUUUUUGUCUUGCUGGCUGACAGUUGGUACUGCAGGCUGAAAAACAGCUUUUCCAGGCAGCAGCAUCCUCUUCCAUUAAGCAAAUCUUGUUGACGUAAAGGGAAUUUUCAGGCUGGCAGUUAGCUAUAGCUAGCAUUCAGCAAAAUGUUGGUAAAAUACAGUCUGGAGAAAGUUGUUGUCUUCAUGAAAAUGAAAGGGCCCUAGGGGCCCUGUCCCAUGUGCUGAGCAGGGCUGGGAUGGGAUAGUGGUUGGGGCCACACAGACCUGAGGACUACAGGGCGCAUCCAUAGGGAGCAGCACAGCUUUUGCUUUCCAUCAUCUCCACAUCUGAGCACAGACAUCAGAAGCACACUGCAGAGAUCAGUGAUCACGCAGUGCACGUGCGCAGCGCGGUGCAUGUGGGGCACCACGUGUCUGAGUAGUGACUGUGAGAAUGACUAAUCCAAUUAGCUACUUCCUCCAUUCCACAGAGCUGCCCUAUCCUUUUCAGCAAUUAAGUAUCAUGACACAGUCACAUCUAUGCCACGCUAAAAACACUGACCUAUCUGUGGCUGUGAGAAGCAAGCUGCACCCAGUCCCUGUCACUGCCUGCUGGGCUGCCCUGGGAGUCUGUAGCAUCCUCCCCGCAAUCCUGCCCUUAUCGCAUGCUGGGUGCUCCUUAUCUCACCUCACUGGCUGAUUCUUUUUAAGCUGUUGCAUGUGAGAAUGUGUUUCCUUCCUUCCAACAGCAUUAGUCAAAGCAGUUGCGAUGCGUUUUGUCUCUCAUUUACCUGUCAAGAUCUGGUUAACGAUGCUCUCCUUCCUAAUAGCAGAUGACACUGCAAAUCAGCAGCAAGGCCCAGAGCUGGCAAGGAACUUCUGUGUAAGGCAAAGCUGGGACCAAUCACUCACGCAGAACCGAAUCACUCAGAAGAAGAAUUUUUCAGGUGCAUCUGAUAAGACAGUUGCAAAAUAUGCAUGGCCUUUUGGAGUGUAAGACAGAAUAUGAAAUACGUGGAGAAAACAUUUCUGGGUGGCAUUAUCAAAGAUGUUUAGCAUAUGGUUAGCAGCUUUCAGUCAAGCAGAAGAUGAACCUUUUGUAGGCUGUAGUAGGGGCCAUAAUUUCCCUUCAGAGGCACAUUUGGAAAGCACAUUCAGGACAACCGGGUUAGGAGGCGGUACAGAUGUUUGUGAGCUGAACAAAGGGGAUCACAGGCCUGAGGGCAAGAUGUAAACGAAGAUACUUAAUUGCAGAAGGGUCAGUGCAAGUAAGGAUGCGAGGCUAGAGAAUUUUACUCGUAUGAUUAACCUUCUUUAAGCUGCUGAUAAGUGGGUUGCUUGCCUAAGGUGAGUUGUGGCACUGAGCCUCCAUUUUCUUUGUCUUUUUGAGUCUCUGAAAUAGAGGAAAAAAGAAUACAUGAAGUUUUCUUCCAAUGUUUAGUUGUUGUAGGCUGGAUAGCAGCAGAGGGUCACAUUAGGCUCCAUGAGAUGAAAUAAAUGUAAUGCAUUCUGAUUAUGUGUUACUGCUAUAAGCAAAACAGCAACCCUUUAAAGAGUAAAUGCUCUUUCUAUAAAUACUAUGCAUAUAUUGUAGAACGAAAUUCCCGGUUCAUGAUCCUGAUUCUUUUUUUAGUAUUUUCUCAAAGGAAUGGAAGUGCAAUGGGUGUUGCCAUAUUGCCCUCUCGUGGGGUGAGCCUGUAAAUAGCAGCCAAGCACGCCUGGCUGCAGGCUCUCCUCUCGGUGCCGCUGGGGUUUUCCCUGUUCUGGGGUGCACAGGAGUACCCCACCUGAGGACACGGUGUUCAGAGACCUCCCUGUGGGAAACAGCCAAAGAAGUCCACAGUGUAAACGUUUUCUCCUAAUUCUGUUCCUGCACUUCAGUAGAACACAGCUUUGCGGUUGGUUCCUUAUCAGAAUUGCAAAGACCAGCCCAGAGCGUCAAAACAAUAAGCGGCCUAAAUACAAUAAAACUCCUCCACUGAGCUCUCCUUCCGUGGGACUUUGCACAGCAAACACCAAUUAAAAAGCAGGAGGAUGAACUGCAGUGCUGCUUUGCGUUACAGAGCGUGCCUUGAAGCAGCUGUCAGACGUGAAGAUAGCUCACUGUGAAUGGGAGUCUAUAGGCAGAUCCAUUUUGCUGUGCUGUGAAUGAUGCCAUCUAUCACGCAGAUCGCUACAAUCGCCUCCCACGUUGUUAUACCUCAUCUCUAUUCCAUGCUGUUCUCCAGGAAUUUUAAAGCAGCCUUCUCCUGUCUGGCCGAGGUGCUUUUGUCACCUGCACUUAGAGAGUUGUCUGAGUGCUUUGCAGCCUCUGAAAUAUUUAUCGUCUCCCUUCUCCUGUAAGGCAGGGAAACUCUCAAUUUGCAGAUGACAGAGCGAGGCACACAGAUUAGUUCUUGGAUCCAAAAAGAGGCUUACACAUAUAAAGUGGUGCUUGGGCAGAAUUUGAGAGACUCCGUCCAAAAUGUACAUUGUCAAAAGCCCCAUUCAAAGGCUAGAGAUGUCUGUGUGGGAAGCUGCACAGCCUGAGGGAGAGGAAAACUAACAGCGGUUCGACUUCUUGUUACAAGCCCUUUAUUGAUGCUUAUGACAUAGAAGCUCCUGAAUAAAACUGCCUUCAGAGCAGACUUCUCAUGCAGCCUGCUAGCUGCCUCAGUGGGGAAGAGGAGGAAGCACAACCUAGGGAGAUCCCAGAGGGGAAGGAAUCAAGACAUGAUCUUGUGCCACCCCGCUGUGCCUAGCUGAGGGAAACACUGCCCUGCUGGUUUGAUGUACGAAACGUCUACAAGCCCGGAGAAAAAACUUCUCUGGGAGCCUGCUGCAGGAUGAACAGUUGUGCCAUGCCAUACGUGGCUGUGGUUUUGCUGAGCUGACCAGACAGGGGUACAUUUAAUGUGGAGCUGCCUGGGGACUUGCCUGCUGUGCGCAUUCAGAGUUCAUUUCACUAGCCUGAACUACUGCAACUCAAUUAACAGUGAUUCUAUCCCAUAGCACGGUGGGGCACGUCUCCAGAGAACACAAUAGCUGAGUCCUAGGCACUUCUAACCUCAGGAAAAAUUGAGUGCCCAGCUCUCUGAGCUUAGAAAUAUGUCCUAAACUUCAGUCAGAGCGUGGUUGGAAUGGGAAUUCUCCCCAUGACUCUAAAAGCUGGGCCAUUGGACAUCUGACAAUGGAAGGUUCAUGGCUCCAGCAGAUGCAGCCAUGACCUGGAGCUCAGAGGGCAGUGCAUAUCCUGAGACAAGGAGUCUGGCUCCUAUUCUAGAGCGUUUUCUCUACUUUAUGAGCACUGUGUUUCAGUUUUCAUAGCAGUCCAAGGAGCCACAGAACCCCUCUCUCCAAGCUAAAUGCCUAAUCCCAAGCCUAUCAAUCCACUCAAAUAUUCUCUUUGAGAAAGAUUACUCACGUUGGUUACUAACAGCAAUUAGAGGUAUGCAAAUAACUGGUAGACAUAGAAAUUAGAAGACUAGUCUGCCUCAUUUUCCCCUGUACAGCUCACCCAGAAGCCUUUCAAAACUGAAACUAAAGGUCAGGGAUAGUUGCAAAAGAUCAGCGGUGGGUUACGUCAAAAUGCAGUGCAACAUCUGGAUAUUCUGGUUUGUCCUCUGAAGGACACACCAACUAUAAGUGCAGGCACAUGUGAGACUAGGCACCUCCUUCCAUUAAGUAGCGUGAGUAUCUCCUAUAUGUGACUGUAUGAUGAUGAAUAGCGUUAGCACUUCUUGAUAAUGCAGCGCAGCAGUAAAGAAAAAGAACGUUACAUUAGAAAACAAAUCCUAUUUUUCUGUAGAAUGCAGAUUUCUCCUUUUGAACUGUCAUCCAGAACUGACUUGGAAGUUGAUUCAAAGCCCAUCCAGAGAGGACUGUGUCUUAAUAACUAGACAUCCUUAAGCAGAUGUUUAAGGAUAUCUCUACUCGGCAAAGCACAGAAAUCCAUCCCACAGAAGGCCGAUUUCCCCCAUAAGUGCACUGUUGAACUGAGAUUUUGAAAUACAUCAUCACCUUUGUUACAAAUCUUCUCUCACUUUGGAGCUCUACUCUAUCAGAAAGAAAAGCCAUAUGGAACUAAUCAUGCACAUUUUGUCUGGCAGACAGGCAUUAUAGCAGAUUGUGUUUUCCCUUCAAGUGAUGGUCCAUAUGAGCAUGCAAACUGUGGUGUGCAUAUAUUCCAAUAUGCAAGACAAGAUUUUUCAUUCUGACAAAAUCCACACUGAUGUAGAUCCUCCUCAGUCUGGUAAUAAUCACAAGAGAUGAGCACACUCAUCACUGCCUAUCUUCUAGUCAAAUGUGACUUUAUUUUUUUUCUUUUUGCACACUGUCCUCACACAAACAUUAAUCUUUUUGAGGCUGUUUUCAUUCUUAUUAUAUUUCAUAUAUCACUUGAAUUCAUUUCCUUGUCUGUUGGCUCCUCAGGAAGGUAGUAGAGUUCAGAUUACAGAUCCCACACGUGGCUCUGAAGCACUGUCUGGUGACAAACUUGGAUGCUUGCCUCAAGGCAAACUCUUUCCCAGAGCCUGUCCAGCCCCUGUGAGUCAGUACAGACUCUACUUCUAAUUGCUUUUCUGCCUUGGAUGGAAUGGGUUUCCUCGCAGGUUCAUCCAAAGGUACAUAGCUGCACACAUUCCUUGACUCUUAUGAGAUGAGAUGGUAGGUCCCCUUGGAUUAUCCCAUGCUAGGACUCACGCUUAACGUAACAUUCAUUUAUAUAUGGUCAUGCUAUUUUCAGUGGAUCAAUCAGUUAAUGCAAAUAUGGUGGAAAAAAAGGCUUCUAAAUCUGGAAGACCUUGUGCCAAAAUAUGAGCCAGUGAUACCAUCACCAGCACCUGAAGUUGGCUUUCUUUUAAAUUCACCUUAUUAUGAAAUUCAUCUGGACUUGUAAGUGGCAGCAGGAGCCUUGGAGAUGUCUCAGCUGUCCAAUAAUGUUUAUAAGGGAAGACUGGAGAGAGAUGAUAUACUAGGCAAAAGAUUGCACACAGAGAACAUUUCUUAUUUAGAAUCCCCAAGUGUUCAGUUCUUUUCACACCUUACUGUAUACAUCUCUUCUUACUCUAAAUGACAGCAAUUGCUGAUGAUCUGUCUCACAGAGACCUUAAUCCUUUCCUGAUUCAAGAUGUCGCCUUCGUGUUUUAAACGUAGCAUUUGAUACCAUGGUCACAGCCAUUCAAUUCUUUGGCUCUUCAGUCUUGGUUAAAGGUAUGCCAGGGGAAAAGCACCAGCCAGUGGAGGAUCUGGAGUUCCUGAAUCUAGGUUCGUGUAGAUCUUUGGCCCCAGAGCAGAUGGGACUCUGAGGAGUUCAGGAAGUUAAAGGCUCCCAUUUGAUCUCAAGGAAUAUCUAGAACCAUUAAAUGUAAGCAACAGCACACACAGUGUUUAUCGGCUAGCAUGGUCAGUCCAGAAGUCACUUAUGUCCUGCAGGACAGCCUAUCAACAGUCCUGAGAUACCAAGGUUUAACUAGACAUCAUUACUGCCAGAGACCAUUUGUCUGUACGUACCAGCCUCUUGCAACUCCAGCUUUGGAGGUGUCUCGGAGGACGCAGUCCUCUUCCUGCACUAUCAAUCAUCGUUAUCAACCCCUUCCAACACCUAGCUAUCCAGGUAUCUUUCUACCUUGGAAUCAACCAUUUCUGAGUCUAAGGUGUUGGCAAUGCAAAUCAUGAAGACAGACUGCAAUCUGGUUUCUUUGGCAUUGCAUAUGCACCUUCCUAUCACUUUUCUGGAAUCUCUCCUCAAGAUUCAGCUUCUGCAGCAGCUGGACCCUCUUCUAGCACAGGGGCUGGACAAACAGCCCUCAUCAUCUCAGGAAGAAGGAAUUUCACAUCAGUGACUCUGUGCCCUCACACAUUGUAUUCCUUUUGGAUUUACUACCAGCAGACUCCCACCGUCAACUGUUCUGACAGCCCCCUGCCCUCUUGUAGCAGGAACUUUCAAGUAACUGGAGGAAAUACACUUUCAGAACAAAGCUAAAACAGAGGAAGUCUGUAACAUAUGCUUCAAGGCAUGAAUAUAGGGUAGACAUUUG
rnacentral:lncRNA from 1 species